GACGAAGGGCGCGGGCGUUACUCGUUUUGAUUGGGUGUAAAGGGUAAGUAGGCUGUCUUCCGUUUAUUCUUUGCUAAAGCGCGGAGUGUUCCUUUGCGAGAGCUCGGUAAAAGAGGUAAGACUUGUGUUGAAUAAGGGUUAAAGCAAAUUCGUAUGGAAGGGUAAUAUCUAAAGGAGAUGCGAAUGAACACCAACUGGCAAAGGCAAAUUUCCCGGUUCAACAGACGCUCAGGUACGAAAGCGCAGGUAGCAAACAGG
rnacentral:rRNA from 1 species